GCUGUAUGUACGUGACUGUCCAUCUGUACCUGUGUGUGUUUGUAAUUGUGUAUGACUGUCUGCCUCUGUGUGUUUGUGAGUGCCUGCGUGUGUGUGUGAGUGACUGCCUGCGUGUGUGUGUGAGUGACUGCCUGCUUGUGUGUGUGGCUGUCUGCCUGCCUGUGUGUGUGGCUGUCUGCCUGCUUGUGUGUGUGUGUGUGUGUGUGUGGCUGUCUGCCUGCCUGUGUGUGUG